rnacentral:rRNA from 1 species
UACGGAGGGUGCGAGCGUUAUCCGGAUUUAUUGGGUUUAAAGGGUUCGUAGGCGGAUUUGUAAGUCAGUGGUGAAAUCCUGCAGCUUAACUGUAGAACUGCCAUUGAUACUGCGAGUCUUGAGUAUAAUUGAGGUAGCUGGAAUAAGUAGUGUAGCGGUGAAAUGCAUAGAUAUUACUUAGAACACCAAUUGCGAAGGCAGGUUACCAAGUUAAAACUGACGCUGAUGGACGAAAGCGUGGGGAGCGAACAGG